GGGCAACGCAAUCAAGCAAUCUGUACUUGACAUCGAACGGUUUCCAAGAACAGGUGUGGACGAGCACACACUAAACAACUUUCUUGGAAGACUAGCACGUAGGCUUAGGCGUGCUGCAGCUCGGUGCGGUUGCGGUACUAGUGCUGCGAUGAAUGUGCAUGUGCCACAGGAACGACAAUGCAACACACCUGUUGUGCAUGGUACAUCUUCUUUGGGAGGAUCUGGAGGACAGAGCUCGUCUCGGCCAACUAUGGACACUUUUCAAAGCGAUGAUGAUGAGGACGAAGAGGGGGUGGCCGAGGAGCGUGACUAUGA